GCCGAGGUGGUGAAACUGGUAUACACGCAAGACUUAAAAUCUUGUGGCUGUAAAAUCAGCCGUGUGGGUUCGACCCCCACCCCCGGCA
rfam:Candidatus Gottesmanbacteria bacterium RIFOXYB1_FTLL_47_11 rifoxyb1_full_scaffold_894, whole genome shotgun sequence.